UACGUAGGGUGCAAGCGUUGUUCGGAUUCACUGGGCGUAAAGGGUGCGUAGGCGGUCGGGUAAGUUUGAUGUGAAAUCUCCGAGCUUAACUCGGAAAUGGCAUUGAAUACUAUUCGGCUAGAGAGUCGGAGGGGGGACUGGAAUACUUGGUGUAGCAGUGAAAUGCGUAGAUAUCAAGUGGAACACCAGUGGCGAAGGCGAGUCCCUGGACGAUUUCUGACGCUGAGGCACGAAAGCUAGGGGAGCAAACAGG
rnacentral:rRNA from 1 species